UACGGAGGGGGCUAGCGUUGUUCGGAAUUACUGGGCGUAAAGCGCACUAGGCGGCUUUGUAAGUUAGAGGUGAAAGCCCAGGGCUUAACCCUGGAAUUGCCUUUAAGACUGCAUCGCUAGAAUCGUGGAGAGGUGAGUGGAAUUCCCGAGUGUAGAGGUGAAAUUCGUAGAUAUUCGGAAGAACACCAGUGGCGAAGGCGACUCACUGGACACGUAUUGACGCUGAGGUGCGAAAGCGUGGGGAGCAAACAGG
rnacentral:rRNA from 1 species